AUAGUUGGAGAGAGGUAAAGAAUGAAAAUAAAAUUAUAUAACAUAAGUAUGAGGAGCGGGGCACUCCGGCUGUAAGUCCUAAAAUUAUGCAAUCAAGUAAGGAUGAUGAUAAGUGAGUAGAGCAUUGACUUUCCUUGAAGAUUUACAACUCACGCCUUGUUGUGAUGGAUAAAGAAAUCAUGAUGAUUUUCAUUGGCAAAAUCAACUAUCAUAAAAUACUAUGAAUUGCUCUUAUUGCAAUUGAUUUGCUCUUAUCAUAAUUCCCUUUCACGUUUAAUUACUUCUUUUCAAAUAAUCAAACCCCCAAGUCUAUUCCACCUUGACAGCCAUACAAUCCUCAUAAAUUGUAUGUUCCUCUCCCUUCUAGAUAGUAUGGAACAAAAAUAUUGCAACCUUUAUUUCUAUCAGAUUUUCCUAAACUUUGUAAGCAAGAUUUGCCGUAGAGUGAUAACAAUAUUUAUUUAAAGACACGAAUGCUAUAGUUCCAAUCACCUCAUCUCAAUUCCUCAUUCCAAGAUAUAAGAAAAUAGUAAGAGCAAGAAACACUCCACCAGCCCUUUAUUUUCUUCGUACCAUUAGAGGUACUCAAGGAGAAAGCUAUGAUAUGUGAUGUUUGAAGCGUGCACGAACGGGGAAAAUUGGGUUUUGUAAAUUUGAGAAUUUUAUGUAAUGAAUAGUUCGUCGUUGUAUUUUCUUCUGCCGCAAAUUUUCAAACUAUUGUUCAUUUUUACUUAAGUUUCAAUAAAUUUCAUUUCAAUUUCUUUUAUAACUAUUUUAUUUUAUGAAGAAAAAAAAGAAAAAUAUUUGUACGUUUUAUAAUUAAGCAAAAUUCUAACUAAUAUCUUGGAUAAAAAUCGGGAUGUUACAAGUCCAGUCCAGAACACUCAUCUUAAUUGAUUGUGGAAUUAUGUUCCCUGCUUCUGAUACUAGUAAGAACUGCAAAUUGACAUGGUUCACAACGCAAGUUGGUGUGGAGAUGUGGAGGAUAGAAAGUCAGCUGCAGGGUAUAUUUUAUUUUUAUUGGAAAUUCACCAAACUCAUGGUGUUCAACGAAGGAACAAGUGGUGGCAUUGUCAUCAUGUGAGGCAGAGUAUAUUGCAGCAUCAAUGUGUGCAACAAAAGUAAUUUGGCUAAGAAAUCUAAUGGAGGAGAUAACUGGUGAAGUAUCUGAUGGUGUGACAUUAAAAAUUGACAAUGUCUCUGCCAUAAACCUUGCUAAAAAUCCUAUAUCACAUGGCAGGAGUAAGCAUAUAGAAAUGAGGUGUCACUACUUGAGAGAGCAAGUGAACAAUGGAUUGCUGAAGCUAGAGCAUUGCAGGAGUGAAGUGCAGAUAGCAGAUAUGCUUACAAAAAGUGUACAAACUGAUGUGUUCAAAAGAUUAAGUGAUCUGAUGGGAGUGACAAGCUUAGCAACUAUGAAUUAAGGGGGCAUGUUGAGUUUAAUUCAUAAUUACAUAUAUUACUUGUGCAUUAAGAUAGAAGCUUACCUAGUUGUUAAAAGUGUAACUACCUACUGUUUUGUUAGUUAUGACAGUUAGGAGUUAGUUAGUGAUGCAAUUACUUGUUUCUCAAGUAACAUAGCAUAUAGGAGGAGGAUUAUAAAUAAGUCUUGUAUUGUGACUUUGUUAACAAGUGUGUGAUCAAUAAAAUACUAUUUUCUCCUUCA